rnacentral:tRNA from 1 species
GCGCUCAUAGCUCAAUUGGAUAGAGCGUCAGACUACGGAUCUGAAGGUUGAGAGUUCGAGUCUUUCUGAGCGCGCCA